CCUACGGGAGGCAGCAGUGGGGAAUAUUGGACAAUGGGGGCAACCCUGAUCCAGCCAUGCCGCGUGUGUGAAGAAGGCCCUCGGGUUGUAAAGCACUUUCAGUGAGGAAGAACGCCUGGUGGUUAAUACCCAUCAGGAAAGACAUCACUCACAGAAGAAGCACCGGCUAACUCCGUGCCAGCAGCCGCGGUAAUACGGAGGGUGCGAGCGUUAAUCGGAAUUACUGGGCGUAAAGCGCGCGUAGGUGGCUUGAUAAGCCGGUUGUGAAAGCCCCGGGCUCAACCUGGGAACGGCAUCCGGAACUGUCAAGCUAGAGCGCAGGAGAGGAAGGUAGAAUUCCCGGUGUAGCGGUGAAAUGCGUAGAGAUCGGGAGGAAUACCAGUGGCGAAGGCGGCCUUCUGGACUGACACUGACACUGAGGUGCGAAAGCGUGGGUAGCAAACAGGAUUAGAUACCCGUGUAGUC
rnacentral:rRNA from 1 species